rnacentral:rRNA from 1 species
GAUGAACGCUGGCGGCGUGCUUAACACAUGCAAGUCGAACGAUGAAGCCCAGCUUGCUGGGUGGAUUAGUGGCGAACGGGUGAGUAACACGUGAGUAACCUGCCCUUGACUCUGGGAUAAGCCUGGUAAACUGGGUCUAAUACUGGAUAUGACUUCUCAUCGCAUGGUGGGGGGUGGAAAGAUUUAUUGGUCUUGGAUGGACUCGCGGCCUAUCAGCUUGUUGGUGAGGUAAUGGCUCACCAAGGCGACGACGGGUAGCCGGCCUGAGAGGGUGACCGGCCACACUGGGACUGAGACACGGCCCAGACUCCUACGGGAGGCAGCAGUGGGGAAUAUUGCACAAUGGGCGCAAGCCUGAUGCAGCGACGCCGCGUGAGGGAUGACGGCCUUCGGGUUGUAAACCUCUUUCAGUAGGGAAGAAGCGAGAGUGACGGUACCUGCAGAAGAAGCGCCGGCUAACUACGUG